rnacentral:rRNA from 1 species
UCUAGGCCUAAUCAACUAUUAGAAAUUCCAUACCUAAAGAACAUGGCGGUGUUCCAUAAACUCAGGGGAACCUGUUACUUAAUUUGAUAAUCCACGUAUUUCACCUCCUAUUUUAGUACUCAGCCUGUAUACUACUGUCGUCAGUAAACCUUUAAUAAGAGUUUACAACAAUAUCACCUUAAUAACGUCAAGUCAAAGUGCAGCCCAUAAAUAGGUGUAAAUGGGUUACAAUCAUAAAUAAUGAUUACGAACAUUCAAUAUAAACAUGAAUUGAAGGUGGACUUGACAGUAAUGUUAUAAUUAAUUUCAUAAACACCAAUCUGGAACAUGUACACAUCGCCCGUCGCUCCCAAUG